UACGUAGGUGGCAAGCGUUAUCCGGAUUUACUGGGUGUAAAGGGCGUGUAGCCGGGUUGACAAGUCAGAUGUGAAAUCCUGCGGCUUAACCGCAGAACUGCAUUUGAAACUGUUGAUCUUGAGUACUGGAGAGGCAGACGGAAUUCCUAGUGUAGCGGUGAAAUGCUUAGAUAUCACGAAGAACUCCGAUUGCGAAGGCAGCUCACUGGACUGCAACUGACACUGAGGCUCGAAAGUGUGGGUAUCAAACAGG
rnacentral:rRNA from 1 species